GUGUCAGCUGUCAAUCGUCUAUUAUGACAGUAUUGGAUAGUCCACAUUAGCGUCUGGCGGUUAAUUAAAUUUUCAUUUUACAAAUUAUUAUUUAUUCAAGAAUAAAAUUCUCUAAAACGUUUUAUAAUGGAUUACAAUAGUACUGGUGGAAUGAGGAGUCCGUUCUCUCCACGGUUGAGGCAAUCGUUAUCUGGAAGACGAGCCCAUAGACUAUCAACAGUUGAAAAGAAUCAGAGCAAAUAUGACCGAACAUCGCAACCGCAAAUAAUUGACGUGAUUUAUCAGACAACACAUAGCACAGUAGAGACCUGUGUAAUGCCCCUCCCAGUUAUGGUUACUGAAGCUCUUACAUUUGGCAGUGGUGAUGUUAGUGUAGGCAUGUCACCAUCUGGUUGGUGCUGGGUUGUAACUGGGCGUAGAGUUCUGGCCUGGCCUCAGGAGCUGACAGGUUCAUCAGGGCCAGUAGCUGCUCGUGAACUCACUUUACCCCACACAAAGCUGACCUUGUUUUUAUCUUCUAUGAAAAUGAUGAACAGACGGUACCUUCAGACUGUACCUGAAUGUGAUCGAUUAGUAUCAAGAAUAGAUGACACUGGUACUACUUUGGGAUUGUUACUUCUUGCAAUUGUUACUACUUGUACUUUAUUCAAGAUAUCUACUAAUAGAGAGGGUAGACCAACAGUGAGCUGUACCACUCUUAGGCCCCCAAGUGGCUGGCUUGGUGGUAUAGGCCGACGUGUCUCACUACUAUUCUUUGGCUCAAUGCCAGCUCAUGCUGAUACUAAAUUAGUUGGUGUGGUCAUUCUUUCGAACUUGCCUCCAACUACUGAUGAAGAAGAGAGUGAUGAACUAAUAUGCAUGGUAGCAGAUGGACCACUUCUUCAAAUGUGGUUCCGCAUUGCAUGAGCAUCAUUUACGUAGACCAUUACUGGAUGCAGCAGCUCGGGCCCAUUUGGCUCCACAUGGUAAAAUUACACAAGUGAAAUAAAUUAUAUUUAAAGUCUACUGAGAAACCUUCCAGGAAGAGAUUGCAGUAGUGUUUAAUUGCCUUUUUUGUUGGAUAUACAAAAUCUUUUCGUAAUAUUAGAGAUUAUAAUUUAAACAUUUUAACAUUUAGAUCAAUCAAAAGCAAGUGUAUUUUUAGCUUUCCAACAUAAUGUGCAGUUUGAUAAGUGCGAGCCAAGUACUAUGGAGGUAACAGCGUUGGAUGUGCAGGCGGCAGGUGAUCAUACUUUACUACUUUAGGCAAACAUAUCUGCAGUCACACAGGCUUGACCUGCAGUCACACAGGCUUGACCUGCAGACACGAGUUAUGCUCUGGCCCAAAUGAGAGUGGAGGAACAUCCUGAUUCACCACAAGUGGUGAGUAUAUGCGCAGUUGGAGCCGGACGACAGGAAGAAGGAUCACCGCGUUGUCUGCCACUUGGUCUACGCGCGCUUCUCUAUACAUCGACCGCACUUGCGAUCGUGCCCGCAGAUAAAUGAAUAGCAGAGCAAAAAUAAUUUUAAGCAUGGCAAUCGGCCAUUCAGAAAAUCAUCUCGAAUCUGAAAGCAUACAAUACCUGCCCGUUAUCAACUCUGAACAAAUUCAGGAUUGUAAUAUUCCAGCAAGAGUUUAUCAAGACAUUACAACGGGUAAGGAUUAUUUUGAUACGGAGUGCCAUCCAAUCAGUCAACCUAACCCUAACGAUUUGACCUUAAUUAAUGUUGAAAAUGAGGACAUACUACCAUCUGGAACUGAAGAGAAACAAACCUUGUUCGACGACAUCACCCAGGAACCUCAAAUAGCAGCACAGUUUAGACAACAAAGAGAAACGGCAAAUUUUAGUUUUGAUACGGACUCCUACCCUGACAGCCAGCGUGAUUACGAUAUAUCGUUGACGACAGUGACGCGAACUGUUCUACGUUAUCUAGUUUAACUGAUUUUUCCUCGGAUGAUAGUGGAAAGGAUCCUGAUUUUCUACCUGAGAAAUACAUAGAGUUGAAACGGCCUAAGUACCAUUUUUUUUCACCAAAACCGGGACCUUUCCGGGCAAAUGAUUAAACCAACUACAUGGAAAUGCAGCCUUCUAACACUGAGGCACCUAUCUUAGAGACUGAACAACCACAAUCACCCAGUUGUAACAUCCAUCCCUCUAGUACUGACAGCCAACCGCCUAGCAUUAACAUCCAGCCUCCUAGCAUUGACACCCAGCCUCCUAGCAGUGGCACCCAACCUGAUAGCAUUGACACCCAGCCCCCUAGCAUUGACACCCAGCCCCCUAGCAUGGAUUGUCAACCACCCAGCGUGGAACCUCAGCUGCUAUCCCGAAAAAGAAAAUGUAACCCAGCAUCUUGGAAGAGAAAUAAAUCCAAGGCUCUUAAAAACAGCGGAAAGGCAUAUGAAACAAUGUCCAAAUCAAACAAACAAAUAGAAGCCAAGAAAAUUGGACUUGAAUGUUCCGAUAAAUGCAAAUUAAAAUGUGCUAACCAAUUUUCACGGGAAGAAAGGUUGGCUUUAUUUGAGAACUUUUGGAAGAUUGACUUGACAAAUCAGAGGCAUUUCAUUAGCGACAACAUGACAAAAAUUGAACCUAAGUAUCGCUAUGUCCGUGUUGGCAGCACUCGUCAGAACUUUAAUCACGCAUAUUAUUUCCCUAAAAACGAUAGACGCAUUCGAGUAUGCAAAGUAUACUUUAUUAAUACACUUGCUAUUUCUGAUAAAACUAUAAGAACUGUUGUCAAAAAGAAUUCUGAACGACUUGGAUUAAUACAAGAAAAUCGAGGGAAACAUGGGAACCAGUUCCAGUUAGAGGCCUCUUUGAAAGAUGGUGUCAAAGCACAUAUCAAUUGAAUCCCUAGAAUUGAAAGCCAUUAUUGCCGUGCUCACACAAAACGUAAAUAUAUUGUGGGAAACAUGUCAAUUGCUGCUUUGCAUCGCCUGUACGUUAUCAAGUGCAAAGAAGAAAAUAAGCCACAUGUUUUAUAUAAAAUAUAUUAUAAUAUAUUCAUGGAGGACUUUAACAUCUCCUUUUGGCAACCUAAAAAGGACCAGUGUGAAGACUGUACAGCUUACCUAAAUGCAGAUGAUAAAUCUGUUUUGAAAGAAAAGUACGACUUGCAUUUACAAGAAAAAUGUCUCGCUAGAUCUGAAAAGGAGAGGGAUAAACAAAAUAUUAAUGAGGAUUAUGUAGUGUGUGUAUAUGAUCUACAAGCAGUUAUGCCUUGUCCGCGAGCUGAAGUCUCUAGCUUUUAUUAUAUUUCUAAAUUGAAUUUAUUUAAUUUGACAAUUACUAAAUUAGGAAAGAAUAGUUCAGAUUGUUUUGUAUGGCACGAGGGGGAAGGGGGUCGGGGUUUGAAUGAAAUUGGAUCAUGCGUGCUCAUGUAUUGAAUCGUUUGAACGAUGAAGCUGCGGGUGAUUUCGACGUAGUUUUUUAUAGUGAUAAUUGUUGCGGCCAACAAAAAAACAAAUACAUGCUAGCAACAUACCAAUAUGCUAUGAAAAUAUAUCCGAAAUUGAGAAGUAUCAUUCAUAAGUUUUUAAUAAAGGGACAUACCCAAAAUGAGGGGGAUGCCGCCCACUCAUUAAUUCAACGUAAUAUUUCAAUGGCUUUAAAAUCGUCACCCAUUUCUGUGCCGGACCAGUAUAUUACUCUUAUUACGACAGCAAGGAAAAAGGGUACACCUUUCGCAGUUCACGAACUUGCACAUGACAGUUUUUUAGAUUUAAAAUGCUUGGGUGUUGGAAAUUUUGUCACAUCCGAAGAUGGGCAAAAAGUAAAAUGGUCCGAGAUAAAAAUAAGUCCACAGAGAACAUAAACACCAGUUUUUAUAUAAAACUUGAUACGAAAGCGAAGAAUUCAUCUCAGUCUCCACGCUGACAAAAAGGAUGUCUAAAUCAUCUACUAAUUACAACAUAGUGCCAAAAAAGUUGUAUAAUCAUAAACUUACAAUAUCGGAAACGAAAAAACAAGGUAUACUCAAACUGAUUGAGAAAAAUAUUAUACCUAGAUAUUACGAAAGUUUUUAUCAAAAUUUAUAAAUGUGCCUUUAAAAAAAGACUGUCUUAGAUAUUACUUUUGUGAUUUUAGCCAUACAGGCUGUGAUAUAAUAAUAAAUAGUAAAAGGUAUUAUAAUUAUACUAAUUUAAGCAUAAUUUCAAAUCUUUUAAUGUUCAACUUUCAGCAAUUUUAUUUUAGA